rnacentral:pre_miRNA from 1 species
UCGGCCAUGGCCUUGCUGGUGUUUGCUGGAUGUAACAGCAACUCCAUGUGGAAGCUGUGUCUGUUCCAGUGGAGGUGCUGUUACCUGCAGAGACCACCGAACCCCGCUGG